rnacentral:rRNA from 1 species
AGAGUUUGAUUCUGGCUCAGGAUGAACGCUAGCGACAGGCUUAACACAUGCAAGUCGAGGGGCAGCACAGGUAGCAAUACCGGGUGGCGACCGGCGCACGGGUGAGUAACGCGUAUGCAACUUACCUAUCAGAGGGGGAUAACCCGGCGAAAGUCGGACUAAUACCGCAUGAAGCAGGGGCCCCGCAUGGGGAUAUUUGCUAAAGAUUCAUCGCUGAUAGAUAGGCAUGCGUUCCAUUAGGCAGUUGGUGGGGUAACGGCCCACCAAACCGACGAUGGAUAGGGGUUCUGAGAGGAAGGUCCCCCACAUUGGUACUGAGACACGGACCAAACUCCUACGGGAGGCAGCAGUGAGGAAUAUUGGUCAAUGGCCGAGAGGCUGAACCAGCCAAGUCGCGUGAGGGAUGAAGGUUCUAUGGAUCGUAAACCUCUUUUAUAAGGGAAUAAAGUGCGGGACGUGUCCCGUUCUGUAUGUACCUUAUGAAUAAGGAUCGGCUAACUCCGUGCCAGCAGCCGCGGUAAUACGGAGGAUCCGAGCGUUAUCCGGAUUUAUUGGGUUUAAAGGGUGCGUAGGCGGCCUUUUAAGUCAGCGGUGAAAGUCUGUGGCUCAACCAUAGAAUUGCCGUUGAAACUGGGGGGCUUGAGUAUGUUUGAGGCAGGCGGAAUGCGUGGUGUAGCGGUGAAAUGCAUAGAUAUCACGCAGAACCCCGAUUGCGAAGGCAGCCUGCCAAGCCAUGACUGACGCUGAUGCACGAAAGCGUGGGGAUCAAACAGGAUUAGAUACCCUGGUAGUCCACGCAGUAAACGAUGAUCACUAGCUGUUUGCGAUACACUGUAAGCGGCACAGCGAAAGCGUUAAGUGAUCCACCUGGGGAGUACGCCGGCAACGGUGAAACUCAAAGGAAUUGACGGGGGCCCGCACAAGCGGAGGAACAUGUGGUUUAAUUCGAUGAUACGCGAGGAACCUUACCCGGGUUUGAACGCAUUCGGACCGAGGUGGAAACACCUUUUCUAGCAAUAGCCGUUUGCGAGGUGCUGCAUGGUUGUCGUCAGCUCGUGCCGUGAGGUGUCGGCUUAAGUGCCAUAACGAGCGCAACCCUCGCCACUAGUUACUAACAGGUAAAGCUGAGGACUCUGGUGGGACUGCCAGCGUAAGCUGCGAGGAAGGCGGGGAUGACGUCAAAUCAGCACGGCCCUUACAUCCGGGGCGACACACGUGUUACAAUGGCGUGGACAAAGGGAGGCCACCUGGUGACAGGGAGCGAAUCCCCAAACCACGUCUCAGUUCGGAUCGGAGUCUGCAACCCGACUCCGUGAAGCUGGAUUCGCUAGUAAUCGCGCAUCAGCCAUGGCGCGGUGAAUAAAAUCCCGGGCCUUGCACA